rnacentral:rRNA from 1 species
CGACCGGCGCACGGGUGAGUAACGCGUAUCAAACCUUCCCAUUACUGUGGGAUAACCUGCCGAAAGGCAGACUAAUACCGCAUAGUCUUCGAUGACGGCAUCAGAUUUGAAGUAAAGAUUUAUCGGUAAUGGAUGGGGAUGCGUCUGAUUAGCUUGUUGGCGGGGUAACGGCCCACCAAGGCGACGAUCAGUAGGGGUUCUGAGAGGAAGGUCCCCCACAUUGGAACUGAGACACGGUCCAAACUCCUACGGGAGGCAGCAGCU